AUUGAACGCUGGCGGCAUGCCUUACACAUGCAAGUCGAACGGCAGCAUGAUCUAGCUUGCUAGAUUGAUGGCGAGUGGCGAACGGGUGAGUAAUACAUCGGAACGUGCCCUGUAGUGGGGGAUAACUAGUCGAAAGAUUAGCUAAUACCGCAUACGACCUGAGGGUGAAAGUGGGGGACCGCAAGGCCUCAUGCCAUAGGAGCGGCCGAUGUCUGAUUAGCUAGUUGGUGAGGUAAAGGCUCACCAAGGCGACGAUCAGUAGCUGGUCUGAGAGGACGAUAAGCCCACCGGGGACUGAAAACCGGCCCCAACCCCAAGGGGGGGCACGAGGGGGGAAUUUUGGAAAAGGGGGGAAAGCCUAACCCAGAAAGGCCGGGGUGGUGAAGAGGGCCUUCGGGUUGUAAAGCACUUUUGUCCGGAAAAAAAGGGCUUUGGUUAAAACCUGGGGUCGAGGACGGGACCGAAAAAAAAAGGCCCGGCUAACUACGG
rnacentral:rRNA from 1 species